CGCCGGUGCUGGAGGCGGCGACCAAGGAGUUGCAGCGGUGAGGCACCUCUACGCCUCUCCCUGCCAUGGUGGUCGCCGUCACUCGCGAGCUGUUCGACAUGGAGUCUGCGCCGGCGAGAAGAUGCGCGUCGGCGUCUCCAAGCUGAAGUACUAGAUUUGUUGAGGGUGAGCUACACAUGCUGAUAAUGGUGGUGCUGCGGUGAGGAUCUGAGGUAAACAUAAAAAGUUAGGCUUCUCCGGAAUCCUAGCAAACUGUUAAAAAUUAUAAAAUUAUAAUGCUUAUGAACACAAGAAUAUAUCUGGGGAUCGAUGGGAGAUUUAACAUGGCUGGCCUCGACGGUUCAG